GUCUACAGCCAUGCCACCCUGAACGUGCCGAUCUUGGCUGAUCUCAGAAGCUAAGCAGGGUCGGGCCUGGUUAGUACUUGGAUGGGAGACCAACUAGGAAUACUGUAGGCUUUUCAAU
rnacentral:rRNA from 1 species